AACAAAAACAUGUCCUUUAGGGAAGAAUUUAAGGUUUAACCUGCCCAUUGAUUAUUUUAACGGCCGCAGUAUUUUAACUGUGCAAAGGUAGCAUAAUCAUUAGUUUUUUAAUUGAAAGCUUGUAUGAAUGGUUGGACGAAAUAUUAACUGUCUUUAAAUUAUGUAUAGAAUUUAAUUUUUAAGUUAAAAAGCUUAAAUAUAUUUAAAAGACGAGAAGACCCUAUAGAUUUUUAUAUUUUAUAGAUUUAAUUUUUAAGGAUUAAUAAUUUUUAUAUUGAAUAAAAUAUUUUAUUGGGGUAAUAAAAAGAUUUAUAAAAUUCUUUUAUUUUUUAACAUUGAUUAUUGAUAUUUUUGAUCCAAUAUUAUUGAUUAUAAGAUUAAGUUACCUUAGGGAUAACAGCGUAAUUUUUUUUGAGAGUUCUUAUCGAUAAAAAAGUUUGCGACCUCGAUGUUG
rnacentral:rRNA from 1 species